AAUUAGAAGAGUCAUCACUCACGGUUUGAAGAAGUUUUUUUACUGGCGGGAGACUCCGUUUAUGGAAAAAGAGGAAGAAUAUACAGAAUGUUAACUUUCCUUUUCUUUAGGGUGCUGAGCUAUAUAAAUUCAGGCAACACUUGUUUCAUAGCUUCUGCGUUGCAGUGCUUCACUCAUACUGUGCCUCUUCUUGAGAGCCUUCACUCAUACAAAUGUCAAAGCCCUUGCAACCGUGGCAGCGAGACAUUCUGUGUUAUGCAUGCUCUCCAAGAUCAUCAUAUUAAGCUUGCUCUCAACUCUUCAGGAUCUUAUAUAACGAAUGAUCAAUUUCGUGAUAAUCUAAAUCGUAUGACAUCUACUUCUUCUUUUUUUCCCUUCUCAUAACUUUGUGUUUGAUGAGAUUUCUUCAUAAGAAUGGUUUAACCUUAAGCCACCACAGAUUUUUAAUCUGACUUUCAGAUAAACAACCAAGAAGAUGCCCAUGAAUUUCUACAGUCGGUUUUGGAUAAGUUAAAGAGAUGUUUGAAUCCUAGAAACAGGCCUGGCUCUGUCUCUUCUCAAGAUGUUAACAUUGUUGACCAUGUCUUUGGUGCCGUCUCAUGAGUAGGCAUCUGGUCACAGUUAUGAGAAUGUCGGUAAUUUGAAGUUUUCAACAAAGCGAGGGCUUUGAGACUAGCUGGAGAAACGAGUGUGUAUCUGAUCAUGGUGUCGGUACUUCUAACAAAGCAUGCAACUACUCGGUGGGAGUAAUGAUCCCGGCUGUAAAUUAUUCAGAUUUACGUUGUCGUGUUUCAUUCAACAGACAUUGAUGGUGAUUCUUACAUGAGGGAU